CAGCGAUAUGAUGGCAUACCAUCUUUCGGGACUGACUUUUACAGUGGAGAUGUUUUACCCUUAACUGAUCGCUC
rnacentral:snoRNA from 13 species